AGCGGCACAUCAUGUUUUGUGAAAUUUAUGAGGGGUGACAUCGCCCCUAAUGCUCUGCCUUGUCGCUUCUAGUAAUGUUAUAAUACUCUUUGCUUCUCUACCAUUCUGCCAUUGUUUCCUGCAACCAAAAAAUGAAAAAUGAAAAACUCAUUUCCCCUUUUGUAAACCGAGUACCUUAAACCCAUUUUUCCCAAAUCUUUCAUUUUUUUUCCUAAAAUCAAAACCAAUCAUAAACCAUUUUCCCUCUCUCUCACUCUCUCUCACACACACACCCAUUACCGCCGACCACCAUGUGGAGCACCCCACCUGCUGCUGCCGCCACCUAAGAUCUUCCACCCGCUGCUGCUGCUAGCUUGGAUCUGCCCCACCUACCACCGCCGCCAGUUCGAAAGUGACCCAAGCAUUAGAUCGAAGAGGUUGUACGCCCUGAUUUUCCCACUGGUUGAUUAGCGAGCUGAGCUGCGGCCUAAUCAUGAUUAUCUCGUGGACAUCCCCAAAACCGGAGCUGCCGUCAUAAGGUCGUACCUCCUUAGCUCGAGGUAACCCAAGGGUUCGCCAAGCUUGCCUAAGAACUGAGUCCGGACUCUGAAGGCCGAAGGUUGAGUUAAGUAUCCAGCUCGUGGUAUGAGCUGGAUCUGGAGGCUAUGACCCUUUGUAAAGUCAACACACGCAAGGUAAACGUGGAUAUAUCAGACAUCACGUGUUUGAUAUGCCCCUGACUUCUCGGACACGCAGCAGGAACGUGCGUAUUCAGACACCCACGACUGGGUUGGGCCGUGCAGCCCAUUAUCUCCUUACCUAUUGAUUUGACCACACUUAUGUGUCAGGUUUAGGAAUUAAUCAUGAAUGUUACAGAGUUGAUACGAUAGGUAAGAAGGUCACGGGAUGACCUUCUUACCAACUCCCAGGUGCCUUCUCCUAUAAAUAUGGAGACCCUGGGAGUUGAUAAGGGUUGGAUGAUCUCUUGUAAGAAAGACCCUGUAAUCAAAUACCCAGUAUAUAGCAAUAAUACUGACUAGUGGAGUAGAAGGAUUUUAACCUUUGAACCACUUAAAAAC